rnacentral:rRNA from 1 species
AAUGAACGCUGGCGGCAGGCCUAACACAUGCAAGUCGAACGCCCCGCAAGGGGAGUGGCGCACGGGUGAGUAACGCGUGGGAAUAUGCCCUUCGGUUCGGAAUAACACAGGGAAACUUGUGCUAAUACCGGAUACGAUCUACGGAUGAAAGAUUCAUCGCCGAAGGAGUAGCCCGCGUAGGAUUAGCUAGUUGGUGAGGUAAUGGCUCACCAAGGCGACGAUCCUUAGCUGGUCUGAGAGGAUGAUCAGCCACACUGGGACUGAGACACGGCCCAGACUCCUACGGGAGGCAGCAGUGGGGAACAUUGGACAAUGGGCGAAAGCCUGAUCCAGCCAUGCCACGUGAGUGAUGAAGGCCUUAGGGUUGUAAAGCUCUUUCGCCAGGGAAGAUAAUGACGGUACCUGGAAAAGAAGCCUCGGCUAACUCCGUGCCAGCCGCCGCCGUAA